rnacentral:misc_RNA from 1 species
GAUGAAGAACGUAGCGAAAUGCGAUACUUGGUGUGAAUUGCAGAAUCCCGUGAACCAUCGAGUCUUUGAACGCAAGUUGCGCCCGAAGCCAUUAGGCCGAGGGCACGCCUGCCUGGGCGUCACACGUCGUUGCCCCCCCAUCUACUCCUUCGGGAUUGCGGGGGGCGGAUGAUGGCCUCCCGUGCGCCUCGUCGCGCGGUUGGCAUAAAUGCCAAGUCCUCGGCGACGCACGCCACGACAAUCGGUGGUUGCGAAACCUCGGUUGCCCGUCGUGUGCGGUCGUCGCGCAUCGAGGGCUCGAAAAAAUUGCCGGGCUCCGGCUCGGCUUUCAACGCGACCCCCGGUCAGGCGGGGUUACCCGCUGAAUUUAAGCAUAUCAAUAAGCGGAGGA